rnacentral:rRNA from 1 species
UUUAUUUGAGAGUUUGAUCCUGGCUCAGGACGAACGCUGGCGGCGUGCCUAAUACAUGCAAGUUGAGCGCUGAAGGCUGGUA